AGCUUGGGACAGUAGCGAACGAGUGAGUAACACGUAGUAACCUGCCCACUGGAGGGGGAGAACCACUGGAAACGGUGGCUAAUACCGCAUAAGCCCGAAAGGGGAAAGCAUUUAUGUGCCGGUGGAGGGGACUGCGGGCCAUCAGGAAGAUGGUGAGGUAAAAGCUCACCAAACCGACGACGGCUAUCUGACGUGAGAGCGUGAUCAGACACGAGGACACUGAGAAACGGGUCCUACUCCUACGGGAGGCAGCAGUGGGGAGUAUUGGACAAUGGGGGAAACCCUGAUCCAGCGACGCCGCGUGAACGACGAAGUCCUUCGGGAUGUAAAGUUCUUUUAAAUGGGAAGAAGACAGUGACGGUACCAAUUGAAUAAGCCCCGGCUAACUACGUGCCAGCAGCCGCGGUAAUACGUAGGUCCCAAGUGUUAUCCGGAAUUACUGGGCGUAAAGAGUCUGUAGCCGGGUUUGUAAGUCUGUUUUCAAAUCCUAUGGCUUAACCAUAGAGAGGGAAUGGAUACUGCAAACCUUGAGAUUAUUGGGGGUUGAUGGAAUUUCCGGUGGAGCGGUGAAAUGCGUUGAUAUCGGAAGGAACGCCAAAAGUGAAAGCAGUCAACUACAAUAAAUCUGACGGCCAGAGACGAAAGCUUGGGGAGCAAACGGGAUUAGAUACCCCGGUAGUCCACGCCGUAAAUUAUGCAUGCUAGGUGUC
rnacentral:rRNA from 1 species